GACGAACGCUGGCGGCGUGCUUAACACAUGCAAGUCGAACGGAAAGGCCCUGCUUUUGUGGGGUGCUCGAGUGGCGAACGGGUGAGUAACACGCGAGUAACCUGCCCUUGUCUUUGGGAUAACUUCAGGAAACUGGGGCUAAUACCGGAUAGGAGCUCCUGCUGCAUGGUGGGGGUUGGAAAGUUUCGGCGGUUGGGGAUGGACUCGCGGCUUAUCAGCUUGUUGGUGGGGUAGUGGCUUUCCAAGGUUUCGAAGGGUAGCCGGCCUGAGAGGGUGACCGGCCACAUUGGGACUGCGAUACGGCCCAGAAUCCUACGGGAGGCAGCAGUGGGGAAUAUUGCACAAUGGGCGGAAGCCUGAUGCAACAAUGCCGCGUGCGGGAUGACGGCCUUCGGGUUGUAAACCGCUGUCGCCUGUGACGAAGAGUGAGUGACGGUAAUGGGUAAAGAAGCACCGGCUAACUACGUG
rnacentral:rRNA from 1 species